GCUGCUGUUACUGGUCUUUGCCACUUUGAUUGAGAGCACGGAGGGAUUUUUCCACGCCACAACUCUGCUGGAUCUCCUGAAGACCAGGCAGACCCAACGACACUAGACAGACGGACUGGGGAUUUCUCCAUCACUGUUGCACAUAAGAAGAGUGGUGAUAGGAAGAGUGGACACAGCAGUGUUCAUACCAGGCACUGUCCUGGAGCCAGUGAUGCCAGAGGGAGCAAGCCUCCUACCCUACAAAACUCAUCUCCUGUGACCUUCUAGCCUGAGUCAAGCUGGGAUCGUCAUUGCUCUGUGUGGGCAAGGUUACAUCACAGCUUGGCAGGUGAUUAUCACCACCUGGGUCCUGGGG
rnacentral:lncRNA from 1 species